rnacentral:ncRNA from 1 species
GAAGAGAGAGUUCAAGAGUGCGUGAAACCGUUCAGGGGGUUAAACGGGUGGGCCCUCGAAGGUCGAACAAGUCCCCGCUCCCGGCACUUGGUUGUAUGCCCUUAACGCUGCAUGGAGACUGCCUUAAUUGGUGGCUCUCUAGCAUAAGUCGUUCUGCGAUCGCAAUAGCCACGCCAAGGUCCGCAAGUGGGGGGCCUAGUAGGACUCCGCGACCGACUGGGUGUCUGUUACACGGGGCGUCCGUUAGCGAGUUUCGUGGUUACCUUCGCGGGUGCCGCGAUGACGAGCGCGGCGUUUCCCAACAGUACUGCCCGGUCGUGACCUGUCUCCUCCCGGGAGGUGUCGUAGCUUUUUUUUUUGUAAAAAGAGAAAAAGUUGCGGUGCUCAACCUGUGGAGGCCCAGAGCGGAGAGUAGAAGUCGGGUCCCACCCGACCCGUCUUGAAACACGGACCAAGGAGUCUAACAUGUGCGCAAGUCGUCGAGAAAUUAUCAAACUAAACUCGCGAGGCGCAAUGAAAGUGAAGCGGCCCCGAUGAGGGUGCAUCCGCGAGGGGUGAUCCCGUCUCGAACAGAGCGGGCGCAACCCCAGGGCGUCCGAAUGCUCGCGAGAUCUUUCCCCCUUAAAAGGGUUUGGUCGAGUCGGCCGGACGAACCCAGAGCGCACACGUUGGGACUUGAAAGAUGGUGACCUAUGCCUGGCCAGGACGAAGCCAGGGGAAACCCUGGUGGAGGUCCGCAGCGAUUCUGACGUGCAAAUCGAUCGUCGGAGUUGGGUAUAGGGGCGAAAGACUAAUCGAACCAUCUAGUAGCUGGUUCCCCCCGAAGUUUCCCUCAGGAUAGCUGGUGCUCGCAAAGAGAACAAACGGAGUUUCAUCCGGUAAAGCGAAUGAUUAGAGGCCUUGGGGUCGAAACGACCUCAACCUAUUCUCAAACUUUCAAUGGGUGAGAAGCCCGGCCUUUUUCCUUGAUUGAGGCCGCGGCAAUUGAUUUGAAUCUGAGCGCCCAGUGGGCCAUUUUUGGUAAGCAGAACUGGCGCUGUGGGAUGAACCAAACGCCCGGUUAAGGCGCCUAAACGACGCACAUUUCGGAUCCCACGAAAAGGAGUUGGUU